rnacentral:misc_RNA from 1 species
AAGUCGUAACAAGGUUUCCGUAGGUGAACCUGCGGAAGGAUCAUUAUUGAAUUAUAAGCAAAGGUUGUCGCUGGCCCCUCGGGGCAUGUGCACGCCUGAGCUCUUAAUCCACUUACACCUGUGAACUCAAUGUGGGACGUCUCUCGGGACGAUUCUCAUGUCUUUAUUAUACACCCUGCAUGUCUUUAGAAUGUGAUAUGUUGCUUUAACGCAAUUUAAAUACAACUUUCAACAACGGAUCUCUUGGCUCUC